GGUCGCGCUCAGUUCUGCCUCUCGACUCGUGCGGGUAACACAUCAAAAAGUGUUUUGGCGCCAACUCUAGCCUACCUUAAUCGCCCAGAAAUUGUGUUUGGCAAAAAAAAAUCUCCUUACCGUUCGAGAUUUCCCUGCCUAUUGCAGUUCACCGCUGGACACAGACCUCCACAAGUUCACGCCAAAAAUGCGUGAACUCAUGUGUGUAGCCCAUAGUCAUCGCGUUGGGCGGGCGAGUUGGUGACCACAGG
rnacentral:misc_RNA from 1 species